rnacentral:lncRNA from 1 species
CAAGUGUAUUUGUACUCAAAACAGCACAGAAGCUUUAAAAAAUGACUGCUUAAGUAGAUUUGCUUAUUGUAAAUAGCCCUUAGCACACCUUUCAUUUUAAUAAGCAUUUCUGUGCAGCUUCACAUUGCAUCUUUUACUUAAGUAUUUCAAAUCUCCUUUAAAAGACAUGACUAACCACACGUGGUUUCUCUUCUCUCUAUUCCUCUCUCUCCAUGAAGACUACCACAUUUAAAGCUUGGCCGAAAAGAGUGGGAAGAAAAAGGGGAGUCUAAGCAUAUGUGAUGUUGCCCGUUUCAGUUAGAGAUGAAGCAUGCCUCAUUUUUGGAGCAAAAGGAUCAGAGCUGUCUCCAGCUAUUUUGUGAAACUCAUGGAACGCUCCCCUGCUUCUUGCUAUAGAUAUGUGCCCCAGCCAAGCGCUGCCCUUUCACAGCCAGCUUCCAUGGAAAGGAAACCCAGCCGUGCAGUCAAAAGAGAACCAUCGCUUACUCUAAUUCUGAUAAUCUCCCUGCCUCUAGUCAAGCAGAAAUCUGAGGAUUUAUUAGGGAUGGACUACAAAAGGGAAAACAGUAAGGACAGUGGCCAGUACGGGAUGGUUACGGCAAGCAUACAGUGACAUUUAUUUCAGUAUUUCUUGAGGCUUAUGGAAUCCGCAAUUUAGAGACUUCCCAAGUCACAGUUUACUUGUACAUCCCUGAUAAACUUUUCCUACAUGCAAAUUCAUUCUUACCUAUGGGACAGUUUAAUUAUAUGCUGUGUAAAAGUACUUCCUUUAGUAUGUUCUGAACUUGUCUCUUAAUAAUUUUUUUCUUUUAACCUUCAUUUUCUAUACUGUGAGAGAUGGGAAUUAUUUUUCUCUGCUCACUUUUCUCAUUAUGAUUUAUAUGUGAAAUCUAUACACUUCAUACUCUUCUUCUGCUACCUUCUUUCCAAACUAAAGGCUCCUAGUUUAUUUAACUUCUCCUCAUAGGCAAUGACUAGUCCAUACUGGUCCAUCAGUUGAGUAACAAAGUAAUAGUGUCACCUGUUGAAUGGAUUUCUCAGCACAAGCACAGCAUAAGAGUCAUACAUAUUUAGGAAUGAUAAAUAUUUAUGAGUUGUUUGUUCAGCAGAUGAAUCAAAACAGAUAACAUUUCUGUAUGUAAAAUAUGUC